AUGCCCUACGAUGAGCGGUACACACCCUACAUCCAGCAGGCAGGCCUCCUCCCGUGGAUUCAGUUGGUAAGCCGGUCCACGCCGAACCUCAACGCUCCAUUGGUGUCUUCUCUUGUUGAUCGGUGGAGGUCGGAGACACACAAUUUCCAUCUUCGGACUGGGGAGAUGACCGUGACGCUCGAGGAUGUCUCCUUGAUCACCGGUCUUCCUAUCGACGGGAGGCCUCUCUAUAUGAGCACCGAUUUUGUUGGGUGGCGCCAACAGAUGACUGCUCUUAUCGGUAUGGCUCCUAUCGAGGCUGAGGCUGAAGUAGAGGAGGGAGAAGAGAAGAAGAAGAAGAAGGAAAGGAAAGCAGCCGGAGCUGCUUUCACGUGGAUUCAAAGGAACUUUGCGCAUUGCCAUGCGGAUGCCACUGAUGAUGUGAUCCAGACACAUGCUCGUGUCUAUAUGUGGUACAUUGUCUCAAGGACUUUGUUUCCUGACUCCACAGGCAAGAACGCUCCAUGGAUGUGGCUAAAGGCAUUGACCGUCUUUGAUAGCGGAUGGAGCUGGGGUUCAGCGACUCUUGCCCACUUGUACCGAUAG
rnacentral:rRNA from 1 species